GUUUGUAUUAUAUAUGGGUUCUUUAUGCUUGCCUUUAAAUCCUUCUUAAUUUUCCCUGUGCAGUCCAAGUAAGCAUCGCGAACUGCCAUAAGCAUCGCGAACCACUCGAGUAUCUUCAUUCCCUGUGUAGAACUGUUCAAGAAAAGCACCUGUAAAACCAACAGCGUGGAGGAGCCGGCUUCCCGUGUCAGAGUUGCGUGUACUUGCGGGCUACUUCACCGUCACCAGCCCAUCUGUAGUAUUGUAGGGAUGGACAUAUGGAUUGAGUGGUACCCACCUGAAAGAUACACAUCUCAGCAGCCAAGAACUUCAAUAAAAAUGUAUAUCCCAACUCCUUUUAUAAUCUUGAAUGCUUCUCGGUCAACGUCGGUGUCACUUCCAGUCUUGGAUGCUACCAGGAUGCCAGGUGCAAACUUCAUGGAGGCAUAAUGGCUCUGUACUAGCUUUUCUUGAUGAAUGAAAGCAGUGAUGCUGAUAUGGACUAUCUGAACAAUCCACAUUCAGUUUAAGUGAUGUUACUUUGCUUGAAAUUUUGAGAUUGAACUAUUAGCUUACUAUCAGGUCUGCACCAUUCUAGAUAUCAUCUUGACUUUUAACUUCUCCAAAUGCAACAUUGGAUAACAUAAAUAGGAAAAAAAAUCAAAUUGUGAAACUGUAAGUAAUAGCUUCACCUGAAUAUUGAUCUGUUGUGUUAUUGCAGGGAAGAGGUGUGAAAUUCUCAACUUAGGAAGGAACAUACAACCUGUAAUGUGUCGAUCACUAACUAAUAAACAGGAGUCUGAUGUUGGAAAGAAGCAACUGGUACCAAAGCAAAAGCAUCACGACUCCCCUUACAAAUCAAUGAAGUGUUCUAAUUCUAAUUCUGGCGAUCUAAGCACCGGUCCAAGCGGCUCUCCCUCGGCUAUGCCUGGAUGUUCGAGCUGUCAGUGUGGUACAGGAGCAGCAGCCACCAUCGCUGUCAAGUAGCUCCAGCAAUCACGUGCUCACUCUUGCUUCACAGACUAUGUAUGGUCAGUUCAGAAAAUUGGAGGUUUUAGGAUCUUUGGAAGUUUUUUGAGGCAUCACCCUUCUUGUCCGCAGUUAAAAGGUUUGACGCAGUACAGUGCGGGGGAGGCGGUGUCCUCUGCAGCUAGGUCUACUUGCUGGCGACCUCACCAUCACCAACCCAUCUACAGCCUACUUGAAUGGAUAUGGUUCUUGAGAGGCCAUUUCUUAUGCAUCAGGCCCUGAAGGUGGAUGUUGCUUGUAUGCUAAGCAAGGAAGAGGCAUGCCCUACCUGGCAGCGACCACCUUCCACUCAAGGGAUAUAGCACUAUCAUUUAGCACACACUGUUCCAGGAGAAACAAUAAUCAUGAACAGAAACAGUAACCAACAAUAUCCCUACUGACCGGCGUGGCUCCACCAACGAUCCAUCAGCCCCUGGUACAGAAAGAGAUCCAGAAGCUCACGCAUGGAGGACAUGGACAUUGGUAUCGUCUGUGACGAGGGUUCCCCAGGAUCAAUAGCGUCAAGGACAGGAACGCCUGUGCCCAAUGUAAUAUUCUAAAAACCUGUUAUACUCCAUUCAUCGUAGAGAUAGCCUCCUGCUCCCCCUCUCUUACUCACGAUAAUGACUACCUGAUAGUGAUUCCUUAUGCUCACAUCUUUGGCCUCAUGCUGCAAGCUCUAAAGCUGCCCCCUGCAACUUACCAGCACAAAAUAUACCCAGGCGGAAAGAAUCGUGUGACAGUGACUUUCAUUUCUACUUUGGAAUUGCUAGAUGGUUCACUUGUCCCGAGUUCUAUACCAGGUGCAAUCUUAGAUAGCUAUGAAGAUGCAGAAGACUGCUGCUAUGGAGGCUAUUACACAUGGAGAAUGCAUAUGGCAAAGAAAUGAGGGGCUACCACUACACCCAUGUCAAGAGGCUAGAAAAUCAAGUGACGCACCUGGUCAAAUGGUUGACUUCAUCCAAUGAGACAAUCAAGAAGCUGCGCAAAACAUGCUACUACGCUGUCAGGUACAUGAACUCAUAUUCUGCCCGGAUAGGAAACACAACAGCUGCUCGCCACCUGAAAGGUCAGGACAACACCAAAGGAGUUAUGAAAACAGCUCUUGCAAGCAUCGAAGGACUGACGCAAAGGCUAUGCUACAUUGCUAUGAAGUUUGAGCAGCGCCUUGAAGCAACCAGAAACAGUUUCUGGUAAACUUUGCUGAAUGUAUCCUGGAUAGCGUGCUUCAUCGGUUACCGCAACAACCACCUUUUGUUUCAUAUCUACCAGACCAGCAUCUUUCCCAUUUUGGACUACUCCCAACAAGAUAUGUAUAGACUUUAGUCCUCCCUUGCUGCCUCUAUGGUGAAAAGUAGUCUAUGAUGUAGUUUACGAUCUUUAGAUUUUAUUGUUGUCUGUAUAGUCAAGAGCGGUUUACCAUCGCUUAUUGUAUAUAUGUGAAGGUCUCCU